rnacentral:rRNA from 1 species
CGUCAAAUCAUCAUGCCCUUUAUGUCCUGGGCUACACACGUGCUACAAUGGCCGGUACAGAGGGAAGCAAAGCGGCGACGCGGAGCGAAUCCCAAAAAGCCGGUCUCAGUUCGGAUUGCAGUCUGCAACUCGACUGCAUGAAGUCGGAAUCGCUAGUAAUCGCGAGUCAGCAUAUCGCGGUGAAUACGUUCCCGGGUCUU